UCAAUUAAUCGAUUAAUCGUUAACCUUAAUGCUGCAAAAUGAGUCUAUUGCAGCAACAUCCAGUCACUGGUAUGACAGGAUGUGCAAAAGUGUGUGUGUGUUUAUUUAUGUAUAUAUAUAUAUAUAUGUAUGUGUGUGUGUGUAAAAUACAUUUCUUUUAAAUGUAUAGCACAGUAAUGAAGGCAGCAACGUGUGGUAGAUGGGACAGAACAAGAAAGACUUAAUAAUCUUUCAUUGUGCUAAUGUAUUAUAAUACGAAAGGAUUUGAGGGAAAGAUUAAAAACAAGGAGGUCUGGGAAUGACUGAAGGGAACUGACAGCAGUGAGGGAAGGAAGUAAUCACCAGAAUGUAAAAGGAUAUUGACCGUGCAGGCCCAGGAUGAAGAAGAGGAAGAACACAUUUAACAAUUUUCUCAUAAACUUUCCAUGUGUUAUAAUAAAAACAAUGAACAUGACUACAAUAAUAUGCUAAAUGUUAUUAAAAGAUUCCAGUUUGCAAGAAAUCUGAGUGUCUGACUCUACACUAGAGGAACUCUUUUCUGAAGAACAUCAGGUGCUGAGAAGAAGCCUUGUUAUUACAGCAAAACACUGCAUCAAGCCUCCUGUCCUUCCCUCAGAAGAGCCUGUUGUCUGCUGCUGGGGUAAGAAAGACACUCGUCCUCUUCUCUAUCGGCUGUCCAGCACCUAACUCUGCCUCCUCAGCUCUGUCUGAAAGAGUCUCCUCCACAGUCAGUAAUCAGAGAUCACAGAUUCUUCUGAGAAAGUCAAUACGCUCAUUCUCUUAAAAAACUUUGUUUUUUCGGGUGGGACAAAUAAUACAGGAGAGAUGCUAGAAAUCUCUAUAUUGUUCAUUUUUCAUAUCUUCAUGCUUUAUGAAUGUUUUUCUUCUGAGAAGCUGAAAAAUUAUGGUUCUUUGGUAAUUGCUAUAUUGUUUAGGUUUAUCCUCUGAUAGUGAGCACAGAGCCCUGAUCAUGACAUGCAAGAAAAAGAAAAAAAAUAAUGUCCAUGAUUUACUAAUUCGUUCCCUCGAUGUACUAAAACGUGCAUGAUUACUUUUACAUUUCAUUGAUUUGCUUAAUCGUAUGCACAAUUUACUAAUUCGUUCUCUUGAUGUAUAAAUAGUGUACAUGAUUUAGCAAAUCGAGGGAAUGAAAUAGAAAAUCGUGCGCAUGAAUUAGCCUAUAUUUUUUCCUGCAUGCCGUGUAAUUAAAGCACAUCACCACCAGACAUUUAUACCAGGAGCCUCAUAUACGAC